ACCCCUGAAGAUUAAGAGUUUAUUUCUAGGGAACUAAGUUAAUAUUUGUUAAACCUUAUGUAAAAAACUGUAUAUAAACAAAAAGUUUUCUAUUUUGAGAAGCUUAUUAACAUGUAAUGACAUCAAUUGUAAAAUAUUACUACUAAAUUCAUAUACUUUAUGUGCAAAGCGCAUUUCUUAAAGACUAUUUCUGGUAAUUACUUUUUGAUCUCUUUCUUACAUGAUAAUGAGUAUCUGAUUAGAGUUUUCUAAAUUAUUUUUCUAAAUAGUUGUUAAGCAAGGAAUUCAGUAAGCUAGUGAUUCAGAAUAACCAUUGCAGAAAGUAAUACUGACCUAUAAAUUUCAUGAAUCACUUGUAAAUUGCUAGUUAAUUUUUUAAUGACACAAAUAACUUACAAUCAAUAGAACAUUUUUGGUCAAAAACUUUUUUUUGGUUCAGUACUGAGGAUUGAACCUAGGGCCCUUGCACUGAGAUACAUCCCAUCCCUUUAAAAAUGUUUUUCCUUUAAGACAGUAUCUCACCAAGUUGCUAAGUUGCCUGGGCUGGGUUUGAACUUACAGUCCACCUAUCUCAGCCUCCCCAAAUGCCACUAUGUCUAGCUUAAAAAACAUUCUUAAGAAAUAAAAUAUAUAUCUAAUUAUUAAAAAUUAGCUCUCUUCCAGAUGAAUAGAGGGGCUUUCGAAUAAUUUCAUGGUACAAAAGGCCCUCUUUUUACAAAAGUGGAAGAAACUAAAUCAAAGGAUUACCUUUCCUUUUAUAAAGACUGGAUCAGAAUUUCAACAAUGCAAAAAUUCGAAGAGUAAUGCUGUUAUUUGAUUUGUUUUUUGCCUCGACUAUUCAUUUAAAUUAUCAAUCCUGAAAUUUAAGCAGAAUAUGUACCUAAGUUAAAUGUGGGUAGGAAUGUCAACCUAUAUGCUUUUAAAAAGUGUGUUUUAGCAUGUUAAUGAAGGAAUUUCAUUUAUGUUCAAUAGCAGACUUCAUUUUCAAUAUGUUUAAUAGUUUUAAGGAAUGUUCUUGGUGGCGUAUUGAUUACCAUAGUAAAGGAAAAAUACAUUCUCUGUAUUACAAUGCACACUGUUCAGUAAGAUAAAUUUUAUACUUGUGAUUUCAGUGGGCUAAGCCUGAAAAUCAGAAGGAUAACAGUAUAUUUGCACUAAAAGACAUGUUCCUGAGAAACCUUAGCAUACUCAAACUAUACUAGAUUGUACUAAAUGUUAAGAAGUAAAUGGAUUUAAGGUUUUGUCUUUCUUUUCUGCUGCUUUUGUCACUUCUUCCUUUCUUAUGCCUUCCUUUCUGAGACCUCUCUUUAUCAUAUGGCUUUCAAAGUGCUAAUAGAUUUUUCUUCUGUUUUGCAUGUACAGUUGUUUUUGAUGGGUAGUACAUUCAAAAGGAACUACAUCUGACUAUAAAUCCCACUACUAGUAAUAGUAGUAAUGUAUGUACUUAAUGUAAAGUAGUGAAACAGAUUGUGCUAGACAACCAAACCACAUCUGAAGGUAAAUGAAGUAUGCUGGGUUAGUAUGUUGUUACUUGGGUCACUAAGGAGGGCACGUCAAUGAAAUAAUUAUUUCAAUGUAAUGUUUUCCCUUAAAAAUAUAUUCCCCCAAAAGGGACAAAAACAUAUCCCAAACAUUUAGACCCUUGAGACCCCUUUUUUCAUAAAAGGAAUUCAUAAAUAAUAAUAUAUUAUUAAAAAUUCCCUUAGGAGUGUUGAAACAAUAUAAGAGGAUUACAGGAGGUUUUCUGAAAUAUGAAUACCUCUCUGUGUAGGUGUGCUUUCAACUCAGUGACUUUUUCCUCCCCAGAGACUUGAGAUACCAGGCCAAGUUACCCUUUCCAAGCUCCUAGAGACCAGACCCUAUGAGUCAUCAGCCCCAGUAGCUACCCCCUUCUCAUUGGACAGGGACUAUGUCUUACCUCUAAUUCCUUCCAUGCCAUGCCUGGUUUAACUAAAACUUUAUUUUUAUUUUCAAAGAUUUGAUCAUUGAGGUCAGCUGAGGCUUUGCUAUAAUUUUUAAAUCAGUCUUUCUUUCCUCUCCCUCCCUUCCCCUCUCUUGCUUUCCCCUCCCUUUCUGCCCCCUCCUUUCUUCAGCUCCCUGCUUACUCCCUUCCUCUCCCCUCCCCUUUCUUUUCUUGACAAGGUCUCCUUAUUUUGCCCAGGCUAGUCUGAAUUUAAGGGUUCAAGUGACCCUUCUGCUUCACCUUCUUGAGUAGCUGGGACUAGAGGUUUGCAUCUGGCUAUUACGUUUCUUAAUAAAGCAAGACUACUGGUACAUUUCUCUUGUCAUAGGUAUCCUAAAAUCUAUUUGUUUUUGAUUAACUUUUCCCCCCAAGGAUAACCUUUUCUUUUGUGGUUAUCUUGAUCUCAGAGUAUUUUGAAAAAGGAAAAUUUUACUGUUCAAAAGAGUAGAAAGAGCGUCUUACCAUGGCAGACAUAUGUGAAGUCAUAAUUUGUUAAACUGUACAACACCAUUUAAAGUUGACAUUAUUAAUAAGUCUUGUCAACCUACCCAGAGCUGUAUUUAUCAAAACAAUGCUGGCUAACAUCUUCCCUGCCUACUACACCAAGUUGUAGGGGAGAGACUGUGUAUUUUUUUUUAAGCAAUCCAAUGGAUUUGUUUUUGUCCAUAUUUUGAAACCAACUAGAAGAAUUUUUCUCAUUUUAGAAGGUAGAGACUAUGUAGACCUGUCUUUUGAAUUAUUGUACUCUAAUAUAUAUUUAUAAAUUAUAGCAUUGAAAAAUACAAAAGAACUCUAAUAUUGAUGUUAUUACUUCCUGCUAUUUAAUUUUUUUGUUUUUUGUAACUAAUUGUUAUAUUGCUUUUACAGUUUUAAAUUUUUUCUCAAAUAAGUUUUUUUUUUUUGUAUGGAGGAUGGAACUCAGGACCUUGCACUUGCGAGGCAGGUGGCGGCACUACUGAGCUAAAUCCCUGGCCCUCAAAUAAGUUCUGACCAGGUCUUAGGAAAAAUAUUCUAAAGUUCAGUAGUCUAACAUGAAUUUGAAACACUCCUAUAUCAUAUGUGUGUGUGUAUAUAUAUAUAUAUUUCUUUUUUUAACCCAAGCAACUUAUACCAAAAGGCUAACCUCUGUGUUGCAUUAAUAAAGUGCUUCUUGUUUUCCCUUCUUCUAAUUCAGUUGAUGAGGUGAAAUAGAAGAUAAUUUUUUUCAAAUGUGCAGCUGAUCAUAGUUUUACAAAAUGUUAACAAUGUUCAUUUUUAGUGCAUGAUGCCAAAUUUAUCUUUAAUCAGCCAUUAUUACCUGAUCUGACAAAUGUUUUCCUAUCUGACCAAUGGGUUGUAGGUUUAACUUUUUCUCUGCACAUUCUCACCACACCUUCAAAUAUGUAUUUGUAAAUAGCUGCAAAGUGCUACCUAGAAGUAAGUUAGCAUUUUUGACCUUAUCUAUGCAUAAUUGUUUCUCAGUUUGAUUUUGACAAACUUGUUGAUAUGCAGUUUCUUUGUAGUAUUGUAAUUUAUUGUGAUGUAAUGAAUCUUUUGAAA
rnacentral:lncRNA from 1 species